rnacentral:lncRNA from 1 species
CUUUAAACAAAUUCGACAUGAGUUCCCUCCCGGAACCAUUCAUUUUAAGUCAAACAAGUUUGCAACAGGUCAGCACUGCACAGAUCUCAUCUAGGCAACACAAAUGACUGCCAAAACCAGAAGCUUUGUGAUGACUGACACAGUAUUUUACACUAGCACGGGCAUGAAGAGCAACUGCCUGCAUACAAUUACUGAGCUUCCACAGAAGAAAUACUGCAGAAACAUACUGCAAUGGUGUGGAUUGCUCUGAAGAACCUCCUCCCAAAUGAAUGAUCCUACACUCCACCGAUCCAUAGAUCGGAUAUGACGAUCCUAGGUAGGAUCAACUCCCUCAAUGAGCUG